UACGAAGGGUGCAAGCGUUACUCGGAAUUACUGGGCGUAAAGCGUGCGUAGGCGGUUUGUUAAGUCUGUCGUGAAAGCCCCGGGCUCAACCUGGGAAUGGCGAUGGAUACUGGCGAGCUAGAGUACGGUAGAGGAGAGUGGAAUUCCCGGUGUAGCAGUGAAAUGCGUAGAGAUCGGGAGGAACAUCAGUUGCGAAGGCGGGUCUCUGGACAGUUCCUGACACUGAGACACGAAGGCCAGGGGAGCAAACGGG
rnacentral:rRNA from 1 species